rnacentral:rRNA from 1 species
AUUACCCAAUCCUGACACGGGGAGGUAGUGACAAGAAAUAACAAUACAGGGCAAUUGUCUUGUAAUUGGAAUGAUGGUGACGUAAAAUCUCACCAGAGUAACAAUUGGGGGGCAAGUCUGGUGCCAGCAGCCGCGGUAAUUCCAGCUCCAAUAGCGUAUAUUGAACUUGUUGCAGUUAAAAAGCUCGUAGUUGAAUUUCUGCGUUGCCCGACUCGGCUACUUGCCUUGUCUGGUUUCGCUUUUGGGGUUUUCCCCUUUUUACUUUGAGAAAAUUAGAGUGUUUCAAGCAGACUUGUGUCUUGAAUACUUCAGCAUGGAAUAAUAAAGUAGGACUUUGGUUCUAUUUUGUUGGUUUGUGAACCUUAGUAAUGGUUAAUAGGAACGGUUGGGGGCAUUCGUAUUUAA